AAUGCAUUUAAAUAAGUUGGUACGAGUUAGCAAUGGUACGAGUUUGCAUUGGUACAAGUUUUUUUUUUAGUGGUACGAGUUUACAAUGGUACAGGAUAACUUUAAUUCGAUAAAACACAAUAAGUACAUGGCUCAUACACUUGUAACGGGGAUUGGCUAUUCUUUAAGUUGAGAGACUAUUCAGAUUGUUACAUUUUGCAUGUGCAGUUGAAUUAGUUAGAGAAUAAUACUAUCCAGCUGUACCAGGGUUACCGGCCAAAAAUGCUUGAGACUCACGCAUGUUCAUGCUUUUUUUGCAACAGUAUUCUUGGAUCUAUUUUUUUCCUCUUUGAUCUCUCAAUUUUGGCCAAAUCUCAUGCAUUUGUUUAAUGAAAAUUUGGCAGAACUGCUAUACAUGUGUCAAUGAAAACUAUGGCAAUCGUAUCCCUCAGAGCAUUCUGCUCUUUGAUUAUUUACUUUUUUUUAUUUGAAAAAACAAAAUAGGAUGUGUGAGAAUUCAUUCAUAAGGCAGCAUCGAUACACAUGAAGCCUUUUACUAGAAGCAGGUAUCUCCCAACUAAAUAGAGGUCGUGUUCAAUGCAUUAUCAUUUUUUCGUAUAUUGUAAAUUUUGAUGCACACCAUAACGGUAUGUUAUUAUGCAUUAGAUUGAACUCAUUUCAGAUGACAUAUGUGAUACAUGGAAGAAAAAGAAAUAUUUAAGGUUCAAAAUAACUUUGUGAAAAAUAAUCAAGUUUUAAAUUAUAUAACUUAAUAUUCUGAAUGUUAGUAAUAAUUAAAAGGUACACAUUUUAUCUUAAUCUAGCUUCCUAAAACGUGUGUCUGUAGUUGAUAGAAUAUUGAUGACCUCACAUGAUUCCUGGAGGUGAAUGUAUUAUUUGUAUGAUAUAUAUAUAUUAUUGUAAAGGUUGUCUAACUUGUUGUCAUGUUUUCAUUCUUAUUUGCUUGUUUCACUUUCUAUUUGUUAAGAAAUAUAACUUAAUUUUGUGUCUCUAAACAAUGUUAAAAAUGUGAAAUAACUCAAAGAAUUAUUUUCUGAGAGUUGGCUCCUUAAAUAUGUAAUUGUUCUUCCUACAUACUCAAAAGAUAGCACAGUGCUACCAUCAAGGUUGUAUGUAGUAAUGUAAUUGUUCUUCCUACAUACUCAAAAGAUAGCACAGUGCUACCAUCAAGGUUGUAUGUAGUUUGCUUACUGUUUUGAUCAAUUUUAUAUAUUGUUACAUUGUUUAGAAACAUGAAUGAUUUAAAGAACAAUGAAAAAACUAAUUUCCUUUAACCUGUAAAAGUGACCGAGCAGACUUUCUACCUCAUUUGUUACAUUAUAUAGUGUAUUGUAUAGUUGUUUAUUUUGUUUGAAUUGCUACACAAGCACAUACAAGAAAUACAGAACUACAUGCAUUUUAUACAUAAGGGAUAUAUUUUCAGUGUGAUUAUUUACGUUACCAUGGCAGGAAAUUAUAUUACUGUUAUUUUAUCAAUCAUAGGAGACUUAAUGUCUCAAUUGUCAUAUUUAUUUUCCAAAAUUUGGUUUAAUUUCAUCAAUAUCUUUAGCCUGUUAAAGUUUUUGGAACGAUAGGAAAAAGAAAAAGCAAUGUACAAUGAUUAUUUAUGCUAAAUUUCCAACCUCAUAUUUUGCUUAUUGUCUUUAAAAUGCAAUGGCAUUGAAUAUUUUGUAAAGCAUUUCAGAACACUGCCAUAAUUUUGUGUUUCCUUUAUUGUAUAUAAGGACUGUGGCAUUAGAUCAUAUUUUUUAAUUCAUACAACAUUGAAUUGCAUGUCAUUUUUCAUUUUUGAAAUUGUAAAUGGUAAGAAAAAAUUGAAAAUUAAAUUGACUUACACAAUAUCUUGUUACAAAUGUCGUUUGUAACCUAUUAUCAAAUCAUUCAUAAAAUUUAUACAUUUGAUUGUAUGGUAAAAUUUAUUUGCUAUUGGCUGUUUAUAAUAUUCAAGUAUUACACACAAAAAAAAUCAUGUUUAAAAACGGAAAGAAGUGUUAUUUAUACAAAGAACACCAUCGACAAUUUCUUGUGAAUUUGUAGCAUCAAAAAGAAUUUUAGAACAUUGAUAUCAUGAAAGAUUUAUAUAACAAUGAUAUUUUUAAUAGAGGAAAAGUUUACUAAAAUGAAACACAGUGUUAUAUGUUUUUAGACAUCUCUAAAAAAGAGCAUUAAUAUUGUGCUUUGAAAUUUUUGAGUAUCAAAUUCCAAUCAUAGAAUAAUUCAAGACAUUAAUUCAGUAUUAAAAGUGCAUACAUAUAAUAUUCAGCCAAUUGCAGAGUACACUAUGGCUCAAAGAAACAGAUGCAUUCAUAAUCUACCUCAAAUAAUGUAACCAGUUGAAAGCCAUUAUUUAAGACAGUAUCGUUCCGUCCUAUUUAUGAACUGUUCAAGGACAAUCUCUCUAAUAAAAAUAUUUAAAUUAUUUAAAAUAAGGCACACAAUAAUGGAUUGAAAUUUUUCAAUUCAAAUCAAAUUUAAAUUUGAUUUUUUAAUACAAUGGGCAUUUUCAUGAUAAAAUUAAAACUCUGAAUCACUUAACCCUGUUUCUUUUUCUUAUGUAUAAUUGCUUACAUGAAAAUAGCUACUGUAAGAAAUAUUAUUUUUAGUUUAAACAUUUUUAGCUCUGGUUACAAAGCCAAAAUGAGUUAAUGCUAUCUCUUGACAUCUGUCCAUAAACGUUUUCAAUUUAUUUACCUUUCUGAAAUCAGUAACUUUAAUCAUCCUUUGUGUGUUAAAAAUUUCAAAAAUUUAUCCAAUGGAAAACACUGACAAACCAGCUGUGUGACUUCUAUUACUAGUAUGUAAGAAACUUUUUGGAAUUUUAAAAAAAAUCUAUUUAUACAUAAUUUUUCAGUUUUAUUAAGUUUUACAAGAUUGAUUUCCAAUGAUUUUCUUUCAAAUCAAGUUUUUCAUAAAAAUGCCUCACCUAAAAUCAUAGAUCAUAGGAAAUUUUAAAGAAAUCUUACUAAUAUAAACUAGUUUAAGCAUAAAUAUUCUUGAAUCUCAAUUUGAAUUUCACAUUAAAACAGAUUUGACUUCAGGUAGGUGAGAUGAAAACUUUUAUAAACAUUAAAAAUGAGUCAAAUUUAGAUAAAUGUUUUAGUUAUGGUCCCAUUCUAGAAAAUAUUUCUCUGAUUGAGUAAGUACUAAGCACAGUCAUCGGGUGAGCAGUACAAGCUUCUUUGGGCCUCAAGUUUCUUUUUGUUGUUGUUUUUGCUACAUAUUUUCUGAUGCAGUAAAACCAUGAAUUUCUUUUUUAAUAAUUGCAAUGAAUUCUGUUGUAUGUGCAAGUUGUGUCAAAGAACGAUAUUGUUUUCUUAAGCUUUCAUUAUGUUAUAGUAGUAGUUUCUCAGUGUUGGCUAGGUCUUUGAUUGUUAAACCAGUUCUACAUUUGUGUCAAGUUUUGUCUUUGAUCAAGCCAACUUUUCACAUUAAUGCUUCAUAAACUACCAUCAGAAAUAUAGGUAUGAAUCAUACAUAUAUAUAAUAUAUAUAAACUGAGGGUUUGAAACACUUUUCUAAAUGUAAUUUUAUUUUGUUCAACAUUUUAAUAAAUAGGAUUUACUUGUAAAAUUAUUUCUGCAUCUGAUAGAAAUCAAUCUGUUGCUCAAGUUUAAUUUGAUGAUUACGAGGCAUUUAAAUAUUUGAAUGAAGAAGAAGAUCAGCAUUUUUUAUGUUGCUAAUUGGGCUCCCUCAGCUAUUAUUUGCUGUUUCAUAUUAAUCUUAAAACCAUUGGCCAAGUUUUCUAUUUUCUUUCAUUAUUUUGAGACAAAUGUAGAAUUGUUUUAAUAGUAUGAUAUAUACUCUUUUUCAGGGAUUAUUUCAUCAUUAAGAGUAUAUAAUGUCAUUACCUCAUGUCGUAAUCAUUGUAUUAUAUUCAUUUAAGUCAUUGUGUCAUUGUUUUCUUCAUGUAUCUUUAUAAACAAAAAAGAUUGAAAUGAUAUGUAUAAAAAAAUAUUAAAAAGUACAAGAAUGAUAA